CCUACGGGAGGCAGCAGUGGGGAAUAUUGGACAAUGGGGGAAACCCUGAUCCAGCGACGCCGCGUGAGUGAAGAAGUAUUUCGGUACGUAAAGCUCUAUCAGCAGGAAAGAAAAUGACGGACCUGACCAAAGAACCCCCGGCAAAUAACGGCCCAGAAGCACAGGUAUACCGGAGGGGGAAAGGGUAUUCCGGAUUAACGGGGGGUAAAGGGAGGGUAGAGGGCGGGCAAAGUCUGGAGUGAAAGGCCGGGGCCCAACCCCGGAACUGGUCUGGAAACUGGGAAGCUGGAGUGCAGGAGAGGUAAGCGGAAUUCCUGGUGUAGCGGUGAAAUGCGUAGAUAUCAGGAGGAACACCGGCGGCGAAGGCGGCUUACUGGACUGUAACUGACGUUGAGGCUCGAAGGCGUGGGGAGCAAACAGGAUUAGAUACCCCGGUAGUC
rnacentral:rRNA from 1 species